ACACCGGCACGAGGCUAAUGAUGAUUCUAUAAUUCUGCCCUGAGUAACGGAGCCUCCAUACCAAAAUGGCGACCGCCUGCAGACCCGUGCACGUUUCUUUACAUCGAUACCGUUGACUAUCGCGAUAAGAAAACCUGUCGUGCCAAGUGAGUGCUACCCUCCACGUUGGCAUCCUAUCUACAGUGAUCGAAACUUUUCGUUCAAAAGUUGGGGUGUCGGUCGGAUGUUGUGAAGUGGAGGAUCAUUGUGUAUAAAAUAGAGGAAGUGAUGACUCUGCCGUGGUAUAAUUUCACGUAAUUCGUUUAGAAGAUGACAUUACAAGAUGAGAGUGUAAAAGUCGCAAUUAGGUUUCCCUUGUUAUCGAUGUUAUCGAGGCGAAAAGAUAGGGACAUGAAUAUAAUUUCGGACAAUUCCUGGUAAAUUCCUAUUUAUGGUGUAAAUCGUCCUUGGUUAAAUCUCUCAACCGUUGCAUGUGGAUUUCUGUAAGCCCAAAUCCUGGCAUUUUGUCGAUCGAGGAUACUGCAAUUUGAGAAACUACCUUUAUCCGUAAAUAUUACACGUUCGAAAAAAUGUGAAUCGUGUUACAACUUAUGUAGCAUUCAAUAUCAGAUACUCCGUCGAGUACCAUACUGGUUGGAUCUAUCAUGUGAUUGAUUUUCAUUUGAACAAUCUGUUCUUCUUUAAUUUAUGCAGGGUCGAUCUGCAAUCAGACGUCGCAAUAUUAAUUCAUGAUCAAUAUUCUUAUAUAUUUUACGAGCUAAUCUCUAAUUUCCUGUUGCUUCGUAAAUAGUACGCUACUCUCUCAUUAAAUGUGAAAUAUAAACAUAUUAUGGAUAAAUCCAGUCUAAGAAUUAUUAAAACUUUAACAUUCUUUUCCGGGAGACGAAGUCACUUGCGACCUAUGGUUCCUUUGCAACUUUUGUUAAUAACUUUGAUCAUGUUAAUAACCUUAUAAAAUAAAUUUGUUGCAAUAAAAAAAUGUUGAUUUUAAAAAUCAUGUUCAAGAUUAGGUUUGCACGAACUUUUUUUUACAAAUGUCCAUCGAUCCAGAGGUGCAGAAUCGUGUAGAAUCAUGCUACGGUGGUUUUUAUACCUACAUUUUAUACAUCUUGCACUGACAAUCUGUUCACAUUACUAACUAUAGUGGGUCACAAAAGUAUUCGUACACUUGUCGACACUUUUUCUCGACCUAUUAUGUGUGUUGUAUAAAACAUUUUGAAAUUGAUACGGCAGCCAAUUAUCAUGAUUAUAUUGGAGAAUAAACGAUUCUGAAAAUGUAUAAAGUAGUUAUAAUUGCAUAAAGGUAUUUAGUAUAAGUAUACAUUUUGCAGACAGGACAAAAGAAUUUAAACAGGCAGUCAUUUACAAUAAGUCUGAAUAUUCGGUAGGUAUUCAUACUACUCAGUAUUAUUUCAUAUUUGACACCUAUUAUAUGCUUCAGGUAAUUAUUCAUACUGUUUACCGAUUUUUCACGAAAUAUGAAUUUGUAGUAAAUAUCUUGUAAUUGUAAUAUAUAUUUAUAAUAUAUAUGUAAAUUUUAUAGAAUUUAGAAUACCAACUGACGGGUUCACUUUCCUUGUGUUUACUGGGAGUCGGUCGAACAAUAUAAAUAGAGAAGGACGGGGACUUAGGAGAGAGAACAAAACAGGAUUUCAAGAAGCGAAGAUUGAACAAAGAAGAAAGGCAAGUUAAGAGUUAGAAGGAGAAAGAGAAGAGGGAUUAGAACCAGAGAGUUUUCAGGAGAUACGGAAGAAGACUUAGAAAAUCGAUUCUUGAGUUUUCACGAAUCGAUCGCCUGAUGUUCAAAAAUAUUACACCAUUACAUAUAUAUAUUUUUCAAUUCAAAUUAUAUCUGAUAUAAUGUAUCAUUAUAGUGCUAAUGAAAUUUCAACAUGUUUUAUAUAACAGGGAGAAAAUACACAUAACGAUUCUCUAUUUUAACUAUACGAAUCCUUUGUACUGUAAAUAUAUCGCCACACAAUGGUCCGGGAACCGAAAUAUGGAGGUCAAGAUUAAAAACUGUUAUGUUUUGCAGGCAAGUAGUCUUCUAAUCAAACACUUUCGGGUGCGUUGCUGCACGACGGUUGGUCCAGUUGAUAAGAGAUGCUGCCUUCUCGAUUUUCUCAACGCCAUUGCUGCUUAGACGCCGUGCUAUUUGAUUACCUUUUGCUGCUCCCUCGUCUUUCUCGAGAAAAUUACUCAUGCUGA